rnacentral:rRNA from 1 species
CAACGCCGCGUGUGUGAUGAAGGUCUUCGGAUCGUAAAGCACUGUCGCGAGGGACGAAUAAGCCUGCCGCUAACAUCGGCGGGUGAUGACGGUACCUCGAAAGGAAGCACCGGCUAACUCUGUGCCAGCAGCCGCGGUAAUACAGAGGGUGCUAGCGUUGUUCGGAAUUAUUGGGCGUAAAGCGCGUGUAGGCGGCUCCGCAAGUUGGGUGUGAAAGCCCUCGGCUUAACCGAGGAAGUGCGCCCAAAACUACGAAGCUUGAGUGCCGGAGAGGGUGGCGGAAUUCCCGGUGUAGAGGUGAAAUUCGUAGAUAUCGGGAGGAACACCAGUGGCGAAGGCGGCCACCUGGACGGUUACUGACGCUGAGACGCGAAAGCGUGGGGAGCAAACAGGAUUAGAUACCCUGGUAGUCCACGCCGUAAACGAUGAGCGCUAGGUGUUGUGGGCGUUGACCCCCGCAGUGCCGAAGCUAACGCAUUAAGCGCUCCGCCUGGGAAGUACGGCCGCAAGGCUA